CUUGGUCAUUUAGAGGAAGUAAAAGUCGUAACAAGGUUUCCGUAGGUGAACCUGCGGAAGGAUCAUUAUUGAAUAAGCUUGGUUGGGUUGUUGCUGGCUCUUAGGGGCAUGUGCACGCCUAACACCAAUCUUCUUACCACCUGUGCACCUUUUGUAGACUUGGAUAUCUCUCGAGGAAACUCGGUAUGAGGACUGCUGUGCGUCAAAGCCGGCUUUCCUUACAUUUCCGGUCUAUGUCUUCAUAUACACCAUUUGCAUGUCUACGAAUGUUAUUAUCGGACUUGACUGUCCAAUAAACCUUAUACAACUUUCAACAACGGAUCUCUUGGCUCUCGCAUCGAUGAAGAACGCAGCGAAAUGCGAUAAGUAAUGUGAAUUGCAGAAUUCAGUGAAUCAUCGAAUCUUUGAACGCACCUUGGCGCUCCUUGGUAUUCCGAGGAGCAUGCCUGUUUGAGUGUCAUGAAAUUCUCAACCUUUUCGGCUUUUCCUAAGUUGAUCAGGCUUGGAUGUGGGAGUUUUGCGGGCUUCUUACGAAGUCGGCUCUCCUUAAAUUCAUUAGUAGGGACCUCUGUUGCCUUAGCUUUUGGUGUGAUAAUUAUCUACGCCAUCAUGUGAAGCAGCUUUAAAUUGGAGGUNACUGCUUUCUAACCGUCUCCUAUGGGACAUUCUCUGACAAUUUGACCUCAAAUCAGGUAGGACUACCCGCUGAACUUAAGCAUAUCAAUAAGCGGAGGAAAAGAAACUAACAAGGAUUCCCCUAGUAACUGCGAGUGAAGCGGGAAAAGCUCAAAUUUAAAAUCUGAGGCUCUU
rnacentral:rRNA from 1 species